rnacentral:lncRNA from 1 species
AUGCCUGACCCAAAGCCAAGGAGACAUAGAGGGUGGAACUUCAGUUCAGAUGAUGCAAUGAAAGCUGCAGACCUGGGAUCUGAAAAAUCUGCACUCCAUGGUUUGAUUUGUAAAUUAACAUUAACAACAUCACCACUCACUCUCUCACGGCUUUCUAAUUUAGACAACUGGCAAGAUAAAAAUGAACAUGAAAUGUUGAGAACAACCAUUGUUCACUGCCUUUCCUUUCAACACAAUAAAAUAAAAUAA